GACGAACGCUGGCGGCGUGCUUGACACAUGCAAGUCGAACGGAAAGGCCCUGCUUUUGUGGGGUGCUCGAGUGGCGAACGGGUGAGUAACACGUGAGUAACCUGCCCUUGACUUUGGGAUAACUUCAGGAAACUGGGGCUAAUACCGGAUAGGAGCUCCUGCUGCAUGGUGGGGGUUGGAAAGUUUCGGCGGUUGGGGAUGGACUCGCGGCUUAUCAGCUUGUUGGUGGGGUAGUGGCUUACCAAGGCUUUGACGGGUAGCCGGCCUGAGAGGGUGACCGGCCGCAUUGGGACUGAGAUACGGCCCAGACUCCUACGGGAGGCAGCAGUGGGGAAUAUUGCACAAUGGGCGGAAGCCUGAUGCAGCAACGCCGCGUGCGGGAUGACGGCCUUCGGGUUGUAAACCGCUUUCGCCUGUGACGAAGCGUGAGUGACGGUAAUGGGUAAAGAAGCACCGGCUAACUACGUG
rnacentral:rRNA from 1 species